UUACAUUCUGUUCUCGACGUCGCGUUCAUUGUGGGGAGCCAUUAGCCUCGUACGCGCAAAGCAUCGUGCCAUAUUCCUAUUCGCGCCCUAAAACUAACACCAUUUUAAUAGUAGUUUUAAGUGAAAUAUUAUGAGAGUGAAGACCGAAAUGGACGACGACGAGAAGGGUAAACUUUUCGUUGGAGGAUUGUCUUGGGAAACAACGCAAGAAAACUUGCAACGUUACUUCGGUCGUUAUGGCGAAGUAAUUGAUUGCGUUGUCAUGAAAAAUAGUGAAUCUGGGCGCAGUCGUGGUUUUGGAUUUGUAACAUUUAGCGAUCCUGCUAAUGUUCCUUUGGUCCUUCAAAAUGGGCCGCAUCAGCUUGAUGGUCGUACGAUUGAUCCAAAACCAUGCAAUCCACGAACCUUACAAAAACCAAAACGUAGUGGUGGGUUUCCGAAAGUAUUUCUUGGUGGGCUUCCAAGUAAUGUGACGGAAACUGAUUUAAGAUCCUUUUUUACUCGAUUUGGCAAGGUUAUGGAAGUUGUUAUAAUGUAUGAUCAAGAGAAAAAAAAAUCAAGAGGAUUUGGCUUUCUCAGUUUUGAGGAUGAAGAUGCUGUGGACCGAUGCGUAGCAGAGCAUUUUGUCAGCUUGAAUGGAAAGCAGGUUGAAAUAAAACGAGCAGAACCACGAGAUUCUUCAAGUAAGAUGAAUGAUAGUCAUCAAGGUCAAUGGGGACCACCUCAACAAGGUGGACCACCAAUGGGUAUGGCAGGGAAUAUGGGACCGAUGGGUGGUCCAAAUGGUCAGAUGGGUGGACCUAUGAUGGGAGGACCUAUGGGACCUCCUGGAAAUAUGAUGCAACAAUAUCAAGGUUGGGGUACAAGUCCUCAAACUGGAGGUUAUGCAGGAUAUAGCACUCAGUAUAAUGCUCAGGGAUGGGGUGCACCACCAGGACCACCACAACAGCAACAAAUACCGCCACCUCCUCCACAUCAAUGGGGUAGCAGUUAUAAUGUUCAACCUGCUGCAGCAACUCAAGGCUAUGGAAGUUACGGUGGGCCGGCGUCGGCCGCUUCAGGGGGCUACGGGCCCACGGCGGGUACUGGCGGGGCUGCGGGGGGCGGGCCCGGGGGUUCUUGGAACUCCUGGAACAUGCCACAGAAUGGGCCCCCUCCUGGGACCCAGCCACCACCCCAGCCCCCUCAACCCAACUCCUCGCAGCCCAACUCCAACUCGAACCCCUCUGGCCCGCAGGGGGAUAUGUACUCAAGACAAACAACCGGCUCAGGUGCACCUGGAACUAGUAGCAGUUCGGCUAAAACAUCGGAUUACAGUGGCUAUUCUGCAUACGGUAAUUAUGCUGAUACCACUUAUCCUCAGCAACGUUCGUAUACGGGAGGAGAAAGCAACCAAGGUGGGUAUGCCGCCAGCGCCCCUAAACCUGGCCACCAAGUCUUAGAAUUCAAAGAGUGGCCCACCUCAUGACCGUUUUAAUUCAACCGUGACGGAGAAAUGCGCUGAAUGGCUUGGCCUUGCUCUCAUGAUAUGGCAACAAUAAGUGAAAUGAUGACGAACCUUUCUUCUACAAAUCAAAGAGGCUGGAACUGAAAUCGCCAAAGAGACGUUUGAUUGAAUUAUGCCAAGAGUAUGAAUUAAAAAAAAAAAAAGAAAAAAACAGACAUGGCGCUAUUA